GUCGGUGUGGCGGAACUGGCAAAUGCGCACGACUAGAAAUCGUGUCCCUUUAGGAGUGUCUGUUCGACCCCGACCACCGGUA
rnacentral:tRNA from 1 species